UGUUUUGUGGCUUAGUUGGUUGAAGCGUCAGUCUAGCGAAUACGGAGUCGUGGGUGCUAAUCCCACCAGAACGA
rnacentral:tRNA from 1 species